rnacentral:rRNA from 1 species
CCAAUAGCGUAUAUUAAAGUUGUUGCAGUUAAAAAGCUCGUAGUUGAAUUUCGGGAUCAGUACGCUGGUCGUGCCUUUGGUAUGCACUGGUGUCACUGGUUUCUCCCUUCUGAAGAUCCGUGAUGUCAUUAAUUUGGUGUCGCGGGGAAUCAGGACUGUUACUUUGAAAAAAUUAGAGUGUUUAAAGCAGGCUCACGCUUGAAUACAUUAGCAUGGAAUAAUGAAAUAGGACGUUUGAUCCUAUUUUGUUGGUUUCUAGGAUCGACGUAAUGAUUAAUAGGGAUAGUUGGGGGCAUUAGUAUUCAAUUGUCAGAGGUGAAAUUCUUGUAUUUAUUGAAGACUAACUACUGCGAAAGCAUUUGCCAAGGAUGUUUUCAUUAAUCAAGAACGAAAGUUAGGGGAUCGAAGACGAUCAGAUACCGUCGUAGUCUUAACCAUAAACUGUGCCGACUAGGGAUCGGAUGAUGUUAAUUUUAUAAUGACUCAUUCGGCGCCUUACG